rnacentral:rRNA from 1 species
UGAAGCGGCAAUAGCUCAAAUUUGAAAGCUGGCGUCUUCGGCGUCCGCGUUGUAAUUUGUAGAGGAUGCUUCGGCAAGGGCUCCUGCCUAAGUCCCCUGGAACGGGGCGUCACAGAGGGUGAGAAUCCCGUACGUGGCGGGCGGCCCGAGCCAUGUGAAGCUCCUUCGACGAGUCGAGUUGUUUGGGAAUGCAGCUCUAAAUGGGAGGUAAAUUUCUUCUAAAGCUAAAUACUGGCCAGAGACCGAUAGCGCACAAGUAGAGUGAUCGAAAGAUGAAAAGCACUUUGGAAAGAGAGUUAAAAAGUACGUGAAAUUGUUGAAAGGGAAGCGCUUGCAACCAGACUCGCCCGCAGUUGCUCAGCCGGCCUCUUGGCCGGCGUACUCUUCUGCGGUCGGGCCAGCAUCAGUUUGGGCGGCCGGAUAAAGGUGUCGGGAAUGUAGCACCCUUCGGGGUGUGUUAUAGCCCGGCGCGGAAUGCGGCCAGCCCGGACUGAGGAUCUCGCUUCGGCAAGGAUGCUGGCGUAAUGGUUGUAAGCGGCCCGUCUUGAAACACGGACCAAGGAGUCUAACAUCUAUGCGAGUGUUUGGGUGUCAAACCCAUGCGCGUAAUGAAAGUGAACGGAGGUGGGAACCCCUCACGGGGUGCACCAUCGACCGAUCCUGAUGUCUUCGGAUGGAUUUGAGUAAGAGCAUAGCUGUUGGGACCCGAAAGAUGGUGAACUAUGCCUGAAUAGGGUGAAGCCAGAGGAAACUCUGGUGGAGGCUCGCAGCGG